rnacentral:rRNA from 1 species
CGUGGGGAACCUGCCCCAUAGUCUGGGAUACCACUUGGAAACAGGUGCUAAUACCGGAUAAGAAAGCAGAUCGCAUGAUCAGCUUUUAAAAGGCGGCGUAAGCUGUCGCUAUGGGAUGGCCCCGCGGUGCAUUAGCUAGUUGGUAAGGUAAAGGCUUACCAAGGCGAUGAUGCAUAGCCGAGUUGAGAGACUGAUCGGCCACAUUGGGACUGAGACACGGCCCAAACUCCUACGGGAGGCAGCAGGC